rnacentral:tRNA from 1 species
GAGAUUUUUAGAAUAACAAAUCUAACUAUAUAAAAAUUACAGCAGUCUGCCUUCUAAGCAGACGGUCUCAGGUUCGAAUCCUGACGCGCUCA